AAUAGUCUACCGCAAGAUCUUAAGAAAAUCGUUAAUGAAGUGGAAAGUGGAAAGCGAAUAAUUGUUGACAACGACGGGGAUUAUAUACAAAUUCCAAACUGCGGAAAGAGAUCUGCACAAAAAAAAGUUAUCGAGCAGGAGCAGCCACUACAGGAACCACCAACACCAACCCCAUUGAAUAAAUUGCCUGUUUUAUGUUCCGUACUGCUAACUUGCAUCGUUAUAGUAAUUAUUUUGUAUCUCUACUGAAACGAUAUUAAGUUGGAUCUUCAGAAGCGUCUAUUCUUGAUGGGUUAUAAGAAAAUCGUUUUCACACA